CCUACGGGAGGCAUCAGUGGGGAAUUUUGGACAAUGGACGCAAGUCUGAUCCAGCCAUUCCGCGUGCAGGACGAAGGCCUUCGGGUUGUAAACUGCUUUUGUACGGAACGAAAAAGCCUUGGCUAAUACCCGGGGUCCAUGACGGUACCGUAAGAAUAAGCACCGGCUAACUACGUGCCAGCAGCCGCGGUAAUACGUAGGGUGCGAGCGUUAAUCGGAAUUACUGGGCGUAAAGCGUGCGCAGGCGGUUUUGUAAGACAGAGGUGAAAUCCCCGGGCUCAACCUGGGAACUGCCUUUGUGACUGCAAGGCUAGAGUGCGGCAGAGGGGGAUGGAAUUCCGCGUGUAGCAGUGAAAUGCGUAGAUAUGCGGAGGAACACCGAUGGCGAAGGCAAUCCCCUGGGCCUGCACUGACGCUCAUGCACGAAAGCGUGGGGAGCAAACAGGAUUAGAUACCCUGGUAGUCCACGCCCUAAACGAUGUCAACUGGUUGUUGGGUCUUUGCUGACUCAGUAACGAAGCUAACGCGUGAAGUUGACCGCCUGGGGAGUACGGCCGCAAGGUUGAAACUCAAAUGAAUUGACGG
rnacentral:rRNA from 1 species